rnacentral:rRNA from 1 species
AUUGAACGCUGGCGGCAGGCUUAACACAUGCAAGUCGAGCGGAGAUGAGGUGCUUGCACCUUAUCUUAGCGGCGGACGGGUGAGUAAUGCUUAGGAAUCUGCCUAUUAGUGGGGGACAACAUUCCGAAAGGAAUGCUAAUAACGCAUACGUCCUACGGGAGAAAGCAGGGGAUCCUCGGACCUUGCGCUAAUAGAUGAGCCUAAGUCGGAUUAGCUAGUUGGUGGGGUAAAGGCCUACCAAGGCGACGAUCUGUAGCGGGUCUGAGAGGAUGAUCCGCCACACUGGGACUGAGACACGGCCCAGACUCCUACGGGAGGCAGCAGUGGGGAAUAUUGGACAAUGGGGGAACCCUGAUCCAGCCAUGCCGCGUGUGUGAAGAAGGCCUUAUGGUUGUAAAGCACUUUAAGCGAGGAGGAGGCUACUGAGACUAAUACUCUUGGAUAGUGGACGUUACUCGCAGAAUAAGCACCGGCUAACUCUGUGCCAGCAGCCGCAGUAAAAC